AAUACAACCCAGAGCUUGUCCCAUUUUCUAUCGAGUUUUGAAGUGAAAAACCACGAUUACUUUGCCGCUCUCCAAAUAUGAUUAUCCAGUUCAGCAGAUAAAAGGAUUGUAAUUUCUGCAAAGAAGUUAGAAGUAGAUUCAAAUUCAGUGGGAAGGGAUUGAAAUUUCCGCGAAACAAAACCAGCAUAAGAGGCUGGCCAAGAAAAAGAUGGGACGGUUUUUUUUCUCUCUAUAGAUAACUACGACU
rnacentral:misc_RNA from 1 species